rnacentral:rRNA from 1 species
UACGUAGGGGGCAAGCGUUGUCCGGAAUCAUUGGGCGUAAAGCGCGUGUAGGCGGCCCGGCAAGUCCGCUGUGAAAGUCGGGGGCUCAACCCUCGAAUGCCGGUGGAUACUGUCGGGCUAGAGUGCGGGAGAGGCGAGUGGAAUUCCUGGUGUAGCGGUGAAAUGCGCAGAUAUCAGGAGGAACACCAAUUGCGAAGGCAGCUCGCUGGAACGUAACUGACGCUGAGACGCGAAAGCGUGGGGAGCAAACAGG